rnacentral:rRNA from 1 species
UACGGAGGGUGCAAACGUUGCUCGGAAUCACUGGGCGUAAAGCGCACGUAGGCGGCCUUGUAAGUUGGAUGUGAAAGCCCUGGGCUCAACCCAGGAAGUGCAUCCAAAACUGCAUGGCUUGAGUGCCGGAGGGGUUCAGAGAAUUCCCGGUGUAGAGGUGAAAUUCGUAGAUAUCGGGAGGAAUACCAGUGGCGAAGGCGCUGAACUGGACGGUAACUGACGCUGAGGUGCGAAAGCGUGGGUAGCAAACAGGAUUAGAAACCCUAGUAGUCC